CGGGGUGGAGUAACGCGUGGGUAACCUGCCUCAUACAGGGGGAUAACGGUUAGAAAUGACUGCUAAUACCGCAUAAGCGCACAGUACCGCAUGGUACCGUGUGAAAAACUCCGGUGGUAUGAGAUGGACCCGCGUCUGAUUAGCUAGUUGGUGAGGUAACGGCCCACCAAGGCGACGAUCAGUAGCCGACCUGAGAGGGUGACCGGCCACAUUGGGACUGAGACACGGCCCAG
rnacentral:rRNA from 1 species